rnacentral:rRNA from 1 species
GCGGUAAUACGUAGGGCGCAAGCGUUGUCCGGAAUUAUUGGGCGUAAAGAGCUCGUAGGCGGCUUGUCACGUCGGGUGUGAAAGACCGGGGCUUAACCCCGGUUCUGCAUUCGAUACGGGCUAGCUAGAGUGUGGUAGGGGAGAUCGGAAUUCCUGGUGUAGCGGUGAAAUGCGCAGAUAUCAGGAGGAACACCGGUGGCGAAGGCGGAUCUCUGGGCCAUUACUGACGCUGAGGAGCGAAAGCGUGGGGAGCGAACAGGAUUAGAUACCCUGGUAGUCCACGCCGUAAACGGUGGGAACUAGGUGUUGGCGACAUUCCACGUCGUCGGUGCCGCAGCUAACGCAUUAAGUUCCCCGCCUGGGGAGUACGGCCGCAAGGCUAAAACUCAAAGGAAUUGACGGGGGCCCGCACAAGCAGCGGAGCAUGUGGCUUAAUUCGACGCAACGCGAAGAACCUUACCAAGGCUUGACAUAUACCGGAAAGCAUUAGAGAUAGUGCCCCCCUUGUGGUCGGUAUACAGGUGGUGCAUGGCUGUCGUCAGCUCGUGUC